AACGCACCUUGCGCUCCUUGGUAUUCCGAGGAGCAUGCCUGUUUGAGUGUCAUUAAAUUCUCAACCAUUAUUAGCUUGUGCUGAUGAUGGCUUGGAUAUGGGGGUUUAUUUUGCUGGCUUCUUCACAGAUUGUCAGCUCCCCUUAAAUGCAUUAGCCGGUGCCCCGCGUGGACUGUCUAUUGGUGUGAUAAUUAUCUACGCCGUGGACAUCUACAAUCAUAUGGGUUUGCACUGCUUCCAACCGUCUGUUUAUUCAGACAAUACAUGACAAUUUGACCUCAAAUCAGGUAGGACUACCCGCUGAACUUAA
rnacentral:misc_RNA from 1 species